AGCAGCACCAGCGGUUGAAAAACCAAGGCGAUCAACAGGCGGCAGGACGAGGACGCUAGCCAUAGGUAGGCUGAGAUGAGGAGGACGACACAUCAGUAGACGCAUCCACAUUACGUGAACGACGAGUAUAAUACUGAGGAAAAGAUGGAAGAAUACGAGGAGGAAUCGUCGAGGUAGAAUGACGGGGUGGAGACGAAGAAGUCGCCAGGGACGAAGGUGCAGAANNNNNNNNNNNNNNNNNNNNNNNNNNNNNNNNNNNNNNNNNNNNNNNNNNNNNNNNNNNNNNNNNNNNNNNNNNNNNNNNNNNNNNNNNNNNNNNNNNNNGAAGAGCCAAGAGGGAGUCACAAGCCCAGGAGGCGCCCCCCCCCCCCCAGGUCGCACCUACCAGGCUUGUGACCUCCUCGUGGGCCCAACUGACGUAAUUCCACUGCCAUAAAUUCCUAUAAAUUCAUAAACCCCCAAAAAGAAACCUAGAUCGGGAGUUCCGCCACCGCAAGCCUUUGUAGACACCAAAAACCAAUCUGGAGCCCGUUCCGGCACCCUGCCGAAGGGGGGAUCCAUCUCCGGUGGCCAUCUUCAUCAUCCCGGCGAUCUCCAUGACGAGGAGGGAGUAGUUCACCCUCGGGGUUGAGGGUAUGUACCAGUAGCUAUGUGUUUGAUCUCUCUCUCUCGUGUUCUUGAGAUGUAUUGAUCUCGAUGUACCACGGGCUUUUCUACUAUAGUUGGAUCCUAUGAUGUUCUUCCCCCUCUCCCUUCUUGUAAUGAAUUGAGUUUUCCCUUUGGAGUUAUCUUAUCGGAUUGAGUCUUUAAGAACACUUGAUGUAUGUCUUGCACGUGUCUAUUUGUGGUGACAAUGGGAUAUUCAUGUGAUUACUUGAUGUAUGUUUUUGUGAUCAAUUUGCGGGUUUCGUGACAUUGGGAACCUAUGCAUAUGGGUUGGCACACGUUUUGACUCUCCAGUAGAAACUUCGGGGAACUCUUUGAAGUUCUAUGUGUUGGUUGAAUAGAUGAUUCUGAGAUUGUGUGAUGCAUAUCGUAUAAUCAUGCCCACGGAUACUUGAGGUGACAAUGGAGUAUCUAGGUGACAUAAGGGUCUUGGUUGAUGUGUGUCUUAAGGUGUUAUUCUAGUACGAACUCUAUGAUGGAUCGAACGGAAAGAAUAGCUUCGUGUUAUUUUACUACGGACUCCUGAAUAGAUUGAUCAGAAAGAAUAACUUUGUGGUGGUUUCGUACCUGACAAUAAUCUCUUCGUUUGUUCUCCGCUAUUAGUGACUUUGGAGUGACUCUUUGUUGCAUGUUGAGGGCUAGUUAUAUGAUCCAAUUAUGUUAUCAUUGUUGAGAGAACUUCACUAGUGAAAGUAUGAACCCUAGGCCUUGUUUCCACGCAUUCGUGCUCAAUUUUAUUAUUAUUUAUCUUGUUGUUUUUGUAAUUUCAGAUUACAAAAAACCUAUAUCCACCAUCCAUAUUUCACUUGUAUCACCAUCUCUUCGCCGAACUAGUGCACCUAUACAAUUUACCAUUGUAUUGGGUGUGUUGGGGACACAAGAGACUCUUUGUUAUUUGGUUGCAGGGUUGCUUGAGAGAGACCAUCUUCAUCCUACGCCUCCCGCAGAUUGAUAAACCUUAGGUCACCCACUUGAGGGAAAAUUGCUACUGUCCUACAAACCUCUGCACUUGGAGGCCCGACAACGUCUACAAGGAGAAGGUUGUGUAGUAGACAUCAAGCUCUUUUCUGGCGCCGUUGCCGGGGAGGUUAGUGCUUGAAGGUAUAUCUUUAGAUCUUGCAAUCGAAUCUUUUAGUUUCUUGUUUUAUCACUAGUUUAGUCUAUAAAAGAAAACUACAAAAAAAUGGAAUUAAGGUUGCCUCAUAUGCUUCAUUUUUUUCAACGUCUUUCGUGAAAAUGAUGGGAAGGAUAAUUGUGCUCAAGUGCUAGAAGAAGAAUUACAUAGAAUGCCUAGCAUAAAAUAUGUGAAUGAUGAGCAUGAUUGCAAUGUUGUUAGUUUGAAUUCUUUGAAUACCCAUGAUGCUAAUGAUAUGCAAAGCCACAAGCUUGGGGAUGCUAUGUUUGAUGAAGAUGAUCUUUUUAGUUCUCCCACUUUGAAUGAUCAAAAUUAUUAUGAUGAAAGCAUGCCCCCUAUUUAUGAUGAUUAUUGUGAUGAUACUUAUGCUAUAAAGAAGAGGGAUGAUAAAACUUGUCAUACUCUUGAGUACCCUCUUACUGAACAUUACUCUUUUUAAUGUGGAAACAAUUCGUAGUGUUCAAGUCUUUUACGAUACUCCCACUACUAUUGAUGAGAAUAAAUUUCCUUAUGUGGAGAGCAGUAAAAUUUCUAUGCUUGUAGAUCAUGAAAAGAAUGCUUUAGGUUCUGGUUAUAUUGUCGAAUUCAUUCAUGAUGCUACUGAAAAUUAUUAUGAGAGCGGAUCAUAUGCUUCUACAUAUUGCAAUAAUAUCAAGCUUCCUCUCCAUGUGUUGCAAUUUUUGAAGCUAUGCUCGUUUUGCCUUCCUAUGCUAGAUGAUUCUUGCUCCAAUAAGUUGUUUGUUCACAAAAUCCCUAUGCAUAGGAAGUUGGUUAGACUUAAAUGUGUUAGUCAUAUGUUUCAUGAUGCUCCCAUUAUGUUUCAAUUCUUAUCUUCUAUGUGAGCAUCAUUGAAAUCAUCAUGCCUAGCUUGAAAGGCAUUAAAGAAAAGCUCUUGUUGGGAGACAACCCAAUAUGUAUCCUUAAUGUUUUUGUGUGUUCACAUGAUUAAGCUACUGUAUUAAUCAUGUUUUAUUGCCUUAGUUUCAAUAAAGUUCCAAGUAAAGCCUUUAUGAUUAGUUUGGGUGAUAGUUGUUUGAUCAUGCUGAAAAAGACAGAAACUUUGCGCUCACGAAAAUAUUUUUAAUUCCUAUCUAGAGAGAGAUAUUGAGCUGAUUCUUUUUUAUCCUGAUUUAUAUGCAAAUUUACCUAAUUUUCAUAAUUGUUUCAGAAUUUUUGGAGGUGCAGAAGUAUGGUUAGCAUUCAAAUCAUUACAGACUAUUCAGUUUUGACAGAUUCUGUUUUCAAUGCAUAGUUUGCUUGUUUUGGUGUUUCCAUAUAUUAUAUUGAGUAAUAUAUGUUGUGGAAAUAGUAAGAUACAGUAGGCAUUGUGUGAAAAUAAUUAUGAGUCUUGCUUUGACAGUACCCAAGUGAUUGAUUUGCUCGUUAUCAUACUAACCCAUCUCACGAAGUUCCGUUAAGUUUUGUGUUGUGAAGUUUUCAAGUUUUGGGUAGAGUUUCGAUGGACUACGGAACAAGGAGUGUAAAGAGCCUAAGCUUGGGGAUGCCCAAGGCACCCCCAAAGCCAUAUUCAAGGACACCAAAGAGCCUAAGCUUGGGGAUGCCCCGGGAAGGCAUCCCCUCUUUCGUCUUCAAUCCAUCAGUAACUUUACUUGGGGCUAUAUUUUUAUUCACCUCAUGAUAUGUGUUUUUCUUGGAGCGUCGUGUAUAAUAGGACUAUUUGCUUUUUGUUUUUUCACCUNNNNNNNNNNNNNNNNNNNNNNNNNNNNNNNNNNNNNNNNNNNNNNNNNNNNNNNNNNNNNNNNNNNNNNNNNNNNNNNNNNNNNNNNNNNNNNNNNNNNACGGCACCUCCGCGUUCAGCACACGUACAGCUCGACGAUGAUCUCGGCCUUCUUGAUCCAGCAAGAGAGACGGAGAGGUAGAAGAUUUCUCCGGCAGCGUGACGGCACUCCGGAGGUUGGUGAUGACCUUGUCUCAGCAGGGCUCCGCCCGAGCUCCGCAGAAACGCGAUCUAGAGGAAAAAUCGUGGAGGUAUGUGGUCGGGCAGCCGUGAGAAAGUCGUCUCAAAUCAGCCCUAAUUGCUCCAUCUAUAUAGGAGGAGGGAGGGGGGGGCCUUGCCUUGGGGUCCAAGGACCCCCAAGGAGUCGGCCGAGCCAAGGGGGGGAGGACUCCCCCCCCAAACCGAGUUGGACUUGGUUUGGUGGGAGGAGUCCCCCUCCCUUCCCAUCUCCUUCCCCUUUUUUUUUUCCUCUUGAUUUUUUCUUCUCUUGGUGCAUUGGGCACUUGUGGGCUGUCCCACCAGCACACUAAGGGCUGGUGUGGCUCCCCAAAUGCCUAUGGGCUUCCCCGGGGUGGGUUGCCCCCCCCCCCCCCGGUCGAACUCCCGGAACCCAUUCGUCAUUCCCGGUACAUUCCCGGUAACUCCGAAAACCUUCCGGUAAUCAAAUGAGGUCAUCCUAUAUAUCAAUCUUCGUUUCCGGACCAUUCCGGAAACCCUCGUGACGUCCGUGAUCUCAUCCGGGACUCCGAACAACAUUCGGUAACCAACCAUAUAACUCAAAUACGCAUAAAACAACGUCGAACCUUAAGUGUGCAGACCCUGCGGGUUCGAGAACUAUGUAGACAUGACCCGAGAGACUCCUCGGUCAAUAUCCAAUAGCGGGACCUGGAUGCCCAUAUUGGAUCCUACAUAUUCUACGAAGAUCUUAUCGUUUGAACCUCAGUGCCAAGGAUUCGUAUAAUCCCGUAUGUCAUUCCCUUUGUCCUUCGGUAUGUUACUUGCCCGAGAUUUGAUCGUCAGUAUCCGCAUACCUAUUUCAAUCUCGUUUUACCGGCAAGUCUCUUUACUCGUUCCGUAAUACAAGAUCCCGCAACUUACACUGAGUUACAUUGCUUGCAAGGCUUGUGUGUGAUGUUGUAUUACCGAGUGGGCCCCGAGAUACCUCUCUGUCACACGGAGUGACAAAUCCCAGUCUUGAUCCAUACUAACUCAACUAACACCUUCGGAGAUACGUGUAGAGCAUCUUUAUAGUCACCCAGUUACGUUGCGACGUUUGAUACACACAAAGCAUUCCUCCGGUGUCAGUGAGUUAUAUGAUCUCAUGGUCAUAGGAAUAAAUACUUGACACGCAGAAAACAGUAGCAACAAAAUGACACGAUCAACAUGCUACGUCUAUUAGUUUGGUCUAGUCCAUCACGUGAUUCUCCCAAUGACGUGAUCCAGUUAUCAAGCAACAACACCUUGUUCAUAAUCAGAAGACACUGACUAUCAUUGAUCAACUGGCUAGCCAACUAGAGGCAUGCUAGGGACGGUGUUUUGUCUAUGUAUCCACACAUGUAAAUGAAUCUUCAUUCAAUACAAUUAUAGCAUGGAUAAUAAACUAUUAUCUUGAUACAGGAAUUAUAAUAAUAACUAUACAUUUAUUAUUGCCUCUAGGGCAUAAUUCCAACAGUCUCCCACUUGCACUAGAGUCUAUAAUCUAGCCCUCACAUCACCAUGUGAAUUACAUUGUAAUAAAUCUAACACCCAUACAGUUCUGGUGCCGAUCAUGUUUUGGACGUGGAAGAGGUUUAGUCAGCGGGUCUGCUACAUUCAGAUCCAUGUGCACUUUGCAUAUAUUUACGUCCUCCUCCUCGACGUAGUCGCGGAUGAGGUUGAAGCGUCGUUUGAUGUGUCUGGUCUUCUUGUGAAACCUUGGUUCCUUUGCUAAAGCAAUGGCACCAGUGUUGUCACAGAACAAGGUUAUUGGAUCCAGUGCACUUGGCACCACUCCAAGAUCCGUCAUGAACUGCUUCAUCCAGACACCCUCCUUAGCCGCCUCCAAGGCAGCCAUGUACUCCGCUUCACAUGUAGAAUCUGCUACGACGCUUUGCUUGGAACUGCACCAGCUUACUGCACCCCCAUUAAGAAUAAAUACGUAUCCGGUUUGCGACUUAGAGUUGUCCGGAUCUGUGUCAAAGCUUGCAUCGACAUAACCUUUUACGGCGAGCUCUUCGUCACCUCCAUACACGAGAAACAUCUCCUUAGUCCUUUUCAGGUACUUCAGGAUAUUCUUGACCGCUGUCCAGUGAUCCACUCCUGGAUUACUCUGGAACCUACCUGCCAUACUUAUGGCCAGGCUAACAUCCGGUCUAGUGCACAGCAUCGCAUACAUGAUAGAACCUAUGGCUGAAGCAUAGGGGGACGGAGCGCAUAUGCUCUCUAUCUUCAUCAGUUGCUGGGCACUGAGUCUUACUCAAUCUCGUACCUUGUAAAACUGGCAAGAACCCUUUCUUGGACUGUUCCAUUUUGAACCUCUUCAAAACUUUAUCAAGGUAUGUGCUUUGUGAAAGUCCUAUCAUGCGUUUUGAUCUAUCCCUAUAGAUCUUAAUGCCUAGAAUGUAAGCAGCUUCUCCUAGGUCCUUCAUAGAGAAACUUUUAUUCAAGUAACCUUUUAUGCUCUCCAAAAACUCUACGUUGUUUCCAAUCAGUAAUAUGCCAUCCACAUAUAAUAUUAGAAACGCCACAGAGCUCCCACUCACUUUCUUGUAAAUACAAGAUUCUCCAACCACUUGUAUAAACCCAAAUGCUUUGAUCACCUCAUCAAAGCGUUUGUUCCAACUCCGAGAUGCUUGCACCAGUCCAUAAAUGGAUCGCUGGAGCUUGCACACCUUGUCAGCAUUUUUAGGAUCGACAAAACCUUCGGGUUGCAUCAUAUACAACUCUUCCUUAAGGAAACCGUUAAGGAACGCCGUUUUGACAUCCAUCUGCCAGAUUUCAUAAUCGAAAAAUGCAGCUAUUGCUAACAUGAUUCUGACAGACUUAAGCAUCGCUACGGGUGAGAAGGUCUUAUCGUAGUCAACUCCUGGAACUUGUGAAAAACCCUUUGCCACAAGUCGAGCUUUAUAAACGAUCACAUUACCGUCAGCGUCCGUCUUCUUCUUAAAGAUCCAUUUGUUCUGAGUAGCCUUGCGGCCCUCAGGUAGUAUCUCCAAAGUCCACACUUUGUUCUCAUGCAUGGAUCCUAUCUCGGAUUUCAUGGCUUCUAGCCAUUUGUUGGAAUCUGGGCCCACCAUUGCUUCUUCAUAAUUUGCAAGUUCAUCGUUGUCUAAUAACAUGAUUGUCAAGACGGGAUUACCGUACCACUCUGGAGCAGCGCGUGAUCUCGUCGACCUGCGUGGUUCAACGGAAACUUGAACUGGAGUUUCAUGAUCAUCAUCAUUAACUUCCUCCUCAACCGGCGUCGCAACGACAGAGGUUUCCCCUUGCCCUGCGCCACCAUCCAGAGGGAUGAGAGGUUCGACAACCUCGUCAAGUUCUAUCUUCCUCCCACUCAAUUCCCUCGAGAGAAACUCCUCGAGAAAAGCUCCGUUUUUAGCAACAAACACUUUGCCCUCGGAUUUGAGAUAGAAGGUGUACCCAACUGUCUCUUUUGGGUAACCUAUGAAGACGCACCUUUCCGCUUUGGGUUCCAGCUUUUCAGGCUGAAGCUUUUUGACAUAAGCAUCACAUCCCCAAACUUUAAGAAAUGACAACUUUGGCCUCUUGCCAUACCACAGUUCGUAUGGUGUCGUCUCAACGGAUUUUGAUGGUGCCCUAUUUAAAGUGAAUGCAGCUGUUUCUAAUGCAUAACCCCAAAAUGAUAACGGCAAAUCAGUAAGAGACAUCAUAGAUCGCACCAUCUCUAACAAAGUACGAUUACGACGUUCGGACACACCAUUACGCUGUGGUGUUCCAGGCGGUGUUAACUGCGAAACAAUUCCACAUUGUCUUAAGUGAGCACCAAACUCGAAACUCAGAUAUUCACCCCCACGAUCAGGCCGUAGGAACUUGAUCUUCUUGUUACGAUGAUUUUCCACUUCACUCUGAAAUUGCUUGAACUUUUCAAAUGUUUCAGACUUGUGCUUCAUCAAGUAGACAUAACCAUAUCUACUUAAAUCGUCAGUGAAGGUGAGAAAAUAACGAUAUCCGCCGCGUGCCUCUACGCUCAUUGGACCACACACAUCGGUAUGUAUGAUUUCCAACAAGUCACUUGCACGCUCCAUUGUUCCGGAGAACGGAGUUUUAGUCAUCUUGCCCAUGAGGCAUGGUUCGCACGUGUCAAGUGAAUCAAAGUCAAGUGACUCCAAAAGUCCAUCAGCAUGGAGUUUCUUCAUGCGCUUUACACCAAUAUGACCCAAGCGGCAGUGCCACAAAAAAUAUGGCGCUAUCAUUGUUUACUCUAACUCUUUUGGUCUCAAUGUUAUGUAUAUGCGUAUCGCUAUCAAGAUUCAAUAUGAACAAUCCUGUCACAUUCGGUGCAUGACCAUAAAAGAUGUUACUCAUAGAAAUGGAACAACCAUUAUUCUCAGAUUUAAAAGAGUAACCGUCUCGCAAUAAACAAGAUCCAGAUAUAAUGUUCAUGCUCAACGCAAGCACUAAAUAACAAUGAUUUAAGUUCAUCACUAAUCCCGAUGCUAGCUGAAGUGACACUGUGCCAACGGCGAUUGCAUCAACCUUGGAACCAUUUCCUACGCGCAUCGUCACUUCGUCUUUCGCCAGCCUUCGUCUAUUCCGCAGUUCGUGCUUCGAGUUGCAAAUGUGAGCAACAGAACCGGUAUCAAAUACCCAGGCACUACUACGAGAGCUGGUUAAGUACACAUCAAUAACAUGUAUAUCAAAUAUACCUGAUUUUUCUUUGUCCGCCUUCUUAUCUGCCAGAUACUUGGGGCAAUUGCGCUUCCAGUGACCCAUACCCUUGCAAUAGAAGCACUCUGUUUCAGGCUUAGGUCCAGCCUUGGGUUUCUUCGGCGGAUUGGCAACAGGCUUGCCGCUCUUCUUCGAAUUGCCCUUCUUGCCUUUGCCGUUUCUCUUGAAACUAGUGGUCUUGCUCACCAUCAACACUUGAUGCUCUUUACGGAGUUCAGACUCUGCGACUUUCAGCAUCGCAAACAACUCGCCGGGAGACUUGUUCAUCCCUUGCAUGUUGUAGUUCAACACAAAGCCUUUAUAGCUUGGCGGCAGUGAUUGAAGGAUUCUGUCAGUGAUAGCCUCUUGUGGGAGUUCAAUCCCCAGCUCAGCUAGACGGUUUGAGUACCCAGACAUUUUGAGCACGUGUUCACUGACAGACGAGUUUUCCUCCAUCUUGCAAGCAUAGAAUUUAUCGGAGGUCUCAUACCUCUCGAUCCGGGCGUUCUUCUGAAAGAUAAACUUCAACUCCUGGAACAUCUCAAAUGCUCCAUGACGCUCAAAGCGACGUUGAAGUCCCGGUUCUAAGCCAUACAAGACUGCACAUUGAACUAUUGAGUAGUCCUCCUUACGCGCUAACCAAGCGUUCUUAACAUCCUGAUCAGCCGUAGCGGGUGGUUCAUCUCCUAGCGCAGCAUUAAGGACAUAAUCCUUCUUCCCAACUUGUAAGAUUAGCUUAAGAUUACAAGCCCAGUCUACAAAGUUGCUUCCAUCAUCUUUCAACUUAGCUUUCUCUAGGAACGUAUUAAAAUUCAGGAUGACACUCGCGUGAGCCAUGAUCUACAACACAAAUAUAUUCAAAGUGGACUUAGACUAUGUUCAAGAUAAUUAGAGUUCAACUUAAUCAAAUUAUAUGCUAAACUCCCACUCAAAAAAAAUACAUCUCUCUAGUCAUUUGAGUGGUUCAUGAUCCACUUACACUAUCCCAAGUCCGAUCAUCACGUGAGUUGAGUAUAGUUUCAGUGGUAAGCAUCCCUAUGCUAAUCAUAUCAACUAUAUGAUUCAUGAUCGACCUUUCGGUCUCAUGUGUUCCGAGGCCAUGUCUGCACAUGCUAGGCUCGUCAAGCUUAACCCGAGUGUUCCGCGUGCGCAACUGUUUUGCACCCGUUGUAUGUGAACGUUGAGUCUAUCACACCCGAUCAUCACGUGGUGUCUCGAAACGACGAACUGUAGCAACGGUGCACAGUCGGGGAGAACACAAUUUCGUCUUGAAAUUUUAGUGAGAGAUCACCUCAUAAUGCUACCGUCGUUCUAAGCAAAAUAAGGUGCAUAAAAUGAUUAACAUCACAUGCAAUUCAUAAGUGACAUGAUAUGGCCAUCAUCACGUGCUUCUUGAUCUCCAUCACCAAAGCACCGGCACGAUCUUCUUGUCACCGGCGCCACACCAUGAUCAUCCAUCAACGUGUUGCCAUCGGAGUUGUCGUGCUACUUAUGCUAUUACUACUAAAGCUACAUCCUAGCAAAAUAGUAAACGCAUCUGCAAGCACAAACGUUAGUAUAAAGACAACCCUAUGGCUCCUGCCGGUUGCCGUACCAUCGACGUGCAAGUCAAUAUUUCUAUUACAACAUGAUCAUCUCAUACAUCCAAUAUAUCACAUCACAUCAUUGGCCAUAUCACAUCACAAUCAUACCCUGCAAAAACAAGUUAGACGUCCUCUAAUUUUGUUGUUGCAUGUUUUACGUGGUGACCAAGGGUAUCUAGUAGGAUCGCAUCUUACUUACGCAAACACCACAACGGAGAUAUAUGAGUUGCUAUUUAACCUCAUCCAAGGACCUCCUCGGUCAAAUCCGAUUCAACUAAAGUUGGAGAAACCGUCACUUGCCAGUCAUCUUUCAGCAAGGGGGUUACUCGUAACGAUGAAACCAGUCUCUCGUAAGCGUACGAGUAAUGUCGGUCCAAGCCGCUUCAAUCCAACAAUACCGCAGAAUCAAGAAAAGACUAAGGAGGGCAGCAAAACGCACAUCACCGCCCACAAAAACUUUUGUGUUCUACUCGAGAAGACAUCUACGCAUGAACCUAGCUCAUGAUGCCACUGUUGGGGAACGUCGCAUGGGAAACAAAAAAUUUCCUACACGCACGAAGACCUAUCAUGGUGAUUUCCAUCUACGAGAGGGGAUGAGUGAUCUACGUACCCUUGUAGAUCGUACAGCAGAAGCGUUAGAGAACGCGGUUGAUGUAGUGGAACGUCCUCACGUCCCUCGAUCCGCCCCGCGAACAAUCCCGCGAUCAGUCCCACGAUCUAGUACCGAACGGACGGCACCUCCGCGUUCAGCACACGUACAGCUCGACGAUGAUCUCGGCCUUCUUGAUCCAGCAAGAGAGACGGAGAGGUAGAAGAGUUCUCCGGCAGCGUGACGGCGCUCCGGAGGUUGGUGAUGACCUUGUCUCAGCAGGGCUUCGCCCGAGCUCCGUAGAAACGCGAUCUAGAGGAAAAACCGUGGAGGUAUGUAGUCGGGCAGCCGUGAGAAAGUCGUCUCAAAUCAGCCCUAAUUGCUCCAUAUAUAUAGGAGGAGGGAGGGGGGGGCCUUGCCUUGGGGUCCAAGGACCCCCAAGGAGUCGGCCGAGCCAAGGGGGGGAGGACUCCCCCCCAAACCGAGUUGGACUUGGUUUGGUGGGAGGAGUCCCCCCUCCCUUCCCAUCUCCUUCCCCUYUUUUUUUUCCUCUUGAUUUUUCUUCUCUUGGUGCAUUGGGCACUUGUGGGCUGUCCCACCAGCACACUAAGGGCUGGUGUGGCUCCCAAAUGCCUAUGGGCUUCCCCGGGGUGGGUUGCCCCCCCCCNNNNNNNNNNNNNNNNNNNNNNNNNNNNNNNNNNNNNNNNNNNNNNNNNNNNNNNNNNNNNNNNNNNNNNNNNNNNNNNNNNNNNNNNNNNNNNNNNNNNAUCAGGCAGAGAUACAGACCAGUGGCGUGCAAAGGCCACGACAAGAGGUGUACGAAUAGUGGUCAUAUGGGCCAGAGGAACAAAUGUCUUGUCGUAAUCAUGAUCAUGCUCCUGCUGAAAGCCACGAGCCACAAAACGAUCUUUGUAACGCUCAAGAGAACCAUCAGAGCGAGUCUUAACCUUAGACCCACUUACAAGUGAUGGAACGGACACCUGGAGGAAGAGAAACAAGAUCCCAUGUACCGGUGCAUUCAGGAGCUGCAAUCUCCUCUGCCAUUGCAAACUACCAUUCAAGAUGAACAAUAGCCUCAAGAUAAGAAGUCGGCUCAAGAACAGCAGCACCAGCGGUUGAAAAACCAAGGCGAUCAACAGGCGGCAGGACGAGGACGCUAGCCAUAGGUAGGCUGUGCUGAGGAGGACGACACAUCAGUAGACGCAUCCACAUUACGUGAACGACGAGUAUAAUAUUGAGGAAAAGAUGGAAGAAUACGAGGAGGAAUCGUCGAGGUAGAAUGACGGGGUGGAGACGAAGAAGUCGCCGGGGACGAAGGUGCAGAAUCCCGUGACAUGCCAGGUGAGGAAACCGUGGAAGAUGGUGGCGGCGAAUCGAUAAGAGGUGGAGAAGCAGAGUUCGCAGGACGAAGAGACAAAGGCUCAACGGGGGUGAUAGGUAUGACAUGAAAAGUGAGGAAAAAGAUAUCCUCCACUGAAAAGGUCAAGGAAGAUGGACGUGGGUAGAAGGGACGAGACUCAUCAAGAGUCACAUCCCGAGAAAUACGCAUCCGAUGACCGAUAGGAUCCCAACAACGAUAGCCCUUAUGUUCAUCAGUAAUGCGCUCGUCGUUAAGCACAACACGAGCAAGAAGAUCCUGGAUGUACUUUUUUUGAGAUAUAAAAAAGCCAUCAGAGGUAGAAGACACUUCAAUCCCAUGAAAGUGGCGAAGAGGUCCAAGAUCAGACAUAAGAAACUGCUCACUAAGACGGGACUUUACAAAGGCAAUAUACUUAGGGUCGUCGCCAGUGAUGAUCAUGUCGCGAGUGAUGAUCAUGUCAUUGACAUAGAGAAGAAGAAGAGUCCGACCACAAGGUGAAAGUGGACAAACAAUGUUGGAUCAUGAGCACUCGCCGAAAAACUAGCGGCAGUCACCACAGAGGCAAAACGCUCAAACCAGGCGCGGGGUACUUGCUUAAGGCCAUAGAGAGAGCGACGGAGACGACAUACCAUGCCAUCAGGAACAGAAUACCCAUGUGGUGGCUGCAUGUAUACCUCCUCACGCAGAUCACCAUUAAGAAAGGUAUUCUUAACAUCAAGCUGAGAUACAUACCAGUGACGUGCAAAGGCCACGACAAGAAGUGUACGAAUAGCGGUCAUAUGGGCCAGAGGAGCAAAAGUCUUGUCGUAAUCACGAUCAUGCUCCUGUUGAAAGCCACGAGCCACAAGACGAGCUUUGUAACGCUCAAGAGAACCAUCAGAGCGAGUCUUAACCUUGCCAUCGCAAACUACCAUUCAAGAUGAACAAUAGCCUCACGAUAAGAAGUCGGCUCAAGAACAACAACACCAUCGGUUGGAAAACCAAGACGAUCAACAGGCGGAAGCGGACGAGGACGCUAGCCAUAGGUAGGCCGAGAUGAGGAGGACGACACAUCAGUUGACGCAUCCACUUUACGUGAACGACGAGUAUAAUACUGAGGAAAAGAUGGAAGAAUACGAGGAGGAAUCGUCGAGGUAGAAUCAGGGGGUGGAAACGAAGAAGUCACCGGGGAUGAAGGUGCAGAAUCCGGUGACAUGCCAGGUGAGGAAACCGUGGAAGAUGGUGGUGGCGAUCCGAGGGAUCACUAGCCCACGUAGCAUCCGAAUAGGCCCGAAGCUGUAAAGAACUGGAGCGAGGAAAGAAUAGAUGGUGAGAGAUCGUGCCUCAAAGAUAUAGUGAACCGAAGUGGGAGCAGAGACACAAACUGACUCAGAAUAUGAACCAGAUAAGAGAUAUCAGGACGAGUGACAACUAGAUAGACAAGAUUCCCAACAAGAUGACGAUAACACGUUGGAUCAGGCAAGGGGUCACCGUCAGUAUCACGGAGGUGAAUAUUCAGCUCCAUGGGUGUCUCAACAAUGCGCUCAUCAGUGGGAGCAGCACGAGCAAGAAGAUCCUGGAUAUACUUUUCCUGAGAUAUAAAAAAGCCAUCAGAGGUAGAAGAGACUUGAAUCCCAAGAAAGUAGCGAAGAGGUCCAAGAUCAGACAUAAGAAACUGCUCACUAAGACGGGCCUUUACAAAGGUAAUAUACUCGGGGUCGUCGCCAGUGAUGAUCGUGUCAUUGACAUAGAGAAGAAGAGUCCGAGCACGAGGUGAAAGAUGGACAAACAAUGCUGGAUCAUGAGCACUCGCUAAAAAACCAGCGAUGGUCACCGCAGAGGCAAAACGCUAAAACCAGGCGCGGGGGGGGGGGGGGGGCCUUGCUUAAGGCCAUAGAGAGAGAGCGACGAAGACGACAUACCAUGCCAUCAAGAGCAGAAUACCCAGGUGGUGGCUGCAUGUAUACCUUCUCACACAGCUCACCAUUAAGAAAGGCAUUCUUAACAUCAGGCAGAGAUACAGACCAGUGGCGUGCAAAGGCCACGACAAGAGGUGUACGAAUAGUGGUCAUAUGGGCCAGAGGAACAAAUGUCUUGUCGUAAUCAUGAUCAUGCUCCUGCUGAAAGCCACGAGCCACAAAACGAUCUUUGUAACGCUCAAGAGAACCAUCAGAGCGAGUCUUAACCUUAGACCCACUUACAAGUGAUGGAACGGACACCUGGAGGAAGAGAAACAAGAUCCCAUGUACCGGUGCAUUCAGGAGCUGCAAUCUCCUCUGCCAUUGCAAACUACCAUUCAAGAUGAACAAUAGCCUCAAGAUAAGAAGUAGGCUCAAGAACAGCAGCACCAGCGGUUGAAAAACCAAGGCGAUCAACAGGCGGCAGGACGAGGACGCUAGCCAUAGGUAGGCUGUGAUGAGGAGGACGACACAUCAGUAGACGCAUCCACAUUACAUGAACGACGAGUAUAAUAUUGAGGAAAAGAUGGAAGAAUACGAGGAGGAAUCGUCGAGGUAGAAUGACGGGGUGGAGACGAAGAAGUCGCCGGGGACGAAGGUGCAGAAUCCCGUGACAUGCCAGGUGAGGAAACCGUGGAAGAUGGUGGCGGCGAAUCGAUAAGAGGUGGAGAAGCAGAGUUAGCAGGACGAAGAGACAAAGGCUCAACGGGGGUGAUAGGUAUGUCAGGAAAAGUGAGGAAAAAGAUAUCCUCCACUGAAAAGGUCAAGGAAGAUGGACGCGGGUAGAAGGGACGAGACUCAUCAAGAGUCACAUCCCGAGAAAUACGCAUCCGAUGACCGUAGGAUCCCAACAACGAUAGCCCUUAUGUUCAUCAGUAAUGCGCUCGUCGGUAAGAACAACACGAGCAAGAAGAUCCUGGAUGUACUUUUCUCGAGAUAUAAAAAAGCCAUCAGAGGUAGGAGACACUUCAAUCCCAAGAAAGUAGCGAAGAGGUCCAAGAUCAGACAUAAGAAACUGCUCACUAAGACGGGACUUUACAAAGGCAAUAUACUCAGGGUCGUCGCCAGUGAUGAUCAUGUCGCGAGUGAUGAUCAUGUCAUUGACAUAGNNN
rnacentral:lncRNA from 1 species